rnacentral:rRNA from 1 species
UCAACUUGAGAGUUUGAUCCUGGCUCAGAACGAACGCUGGCGGCAGGCUUAACACAUGCAAGUCGAGCGCCCCGCAAGGGGAGCGGCAGACGGGUGAGUAACGCGUGGGAAUCUACCGUGCCCUACGGAAUAGCUCCGGGAAACUGGAAUUAAUACCGUAUACGCCCUACGGGGGAAAGAUUUAUCGGGGUAUGAUGAGCCCGCGUUGGAUUAGCUAGUUGGUGGGGUAAAGGCCUACCAAGGCGACGAUCCAUAGCUGGUCUGAGAGG